GCCUCGAUGGUCUAAAGGCUUAAGACGCUUGCAUGGAAUGCUAAAAAUCCGGAUUCGACUCCCGGUCAAGGUA
rnacentral:tRNA from 1 species